rnacentral:tRNA from 1 species
GCCGGGGUUGCAGAGUGGUACUGCGCCGGCCUUGAGAGCCGGUGCCCGCAAGGGCUCCUGGGUUCGAAUCCCAGCCCCGGCG